rnacentral:misc_RNA from 1 species
GAAAUGCGAUAAGUAAUGUGAAUUGCAGAAUUCAGUGAUUCAUCGAAUCUUUGAACGCAACUUGCGCUCCUUGGUAUUCCUUGGAGCAUGCCUGUUUGAGUAUCAUGAAAUCUUCAAAGUAAAUCUUUUGUUAACUCAAUUGGUUUCUACUUUGGUAUUGGAGGUCUUUGCAGCUUCACACCUGCUCCUCUUUGUUCAUUAGCUGGAUCUCAGUGUUAUGCUUGGUUCCACUCGGCGUGAUAAGUUAUCUAUCGCUGAGGACACUGUAAAAGGUGGCCAAGGUAAAUGCAGAUGAACCGCUUCUAAUAGUCCAUUGACUUGGACAAUACUUUUAUGAUCUGAUCUCAAAUCAGGUAGGACUACCCGCUGAACUUAAGC